UAACGCUGGCGGCGUGCUUAACACAUGCAAGUCGCACGAGAACACCUCAGCUUGCUGGGGUAAGUAAAGUGGCGCACGGGUGAGUAACGCGUGGGUAAUCUGCCCUCGAAUCUGGGAUAACCCCGCGAAAGCGGGGCUAAUACCGGAUGAAAUCCAGUUAGCUUUGGCUAUAUGGAUCAAAGGUGGCCUCUGCAUGCAAGCUACUGUUUGGGGAUGAGCCCGCGUACCAUUAGCUUGUUGGUGGGGUAAAGGCCCACCAAGGCGACGAUGGUUAGCUGGUCUGAGAGGAUGAUCAGCCACACUGGAACUGGAACACGGUCCAGACUCCUACGGGAGGCAGCAGUGAGGAAUUUUGCGCAAUGGGGGUAACCCUGACGCAGCAACGCCGCGUGAGUGAUGAAGGCCUUCGGGUCGUAAAGCUCUGUCAAGUGGGAAGAACCCAUUCCGGCACAACAAGCCGGGGUGCUGACGGUACCACUGAAGGAAGCACCGGCUAACUCCGUGCCAGCAGCCGCGGUAAUACGGAGGGUGCGAGCGUUAUUCGGAAUUACUGGGCGUAAAGGGCGCGUAGGCGGCCGAUUAAGUCAGAUGUGAAAUCCCGGGGCUUACCCCCGGAAGUGCAUUUGAUACUGAACGGCUUGAGUAUGGGAGAGGGAAGUGGAAUUCCUGGUGUAGCGGUGAAAUGCGUAGAUAUCAGGAGGAACACCGGUGGCGAAGGCGACUUCCUGGACCAAUACUGACGCUGA
rnacentral:rRNA from 1 species